GUUUGGUCCCAGCCUUAUCCUCAACUAUUACUCAACCUACACAUGCAAGUAUCCACAUACCCGUGAGAACGCCCSAACCCCUCUUUACAGGACCAGGAGCCGGUAUCAGGCACAAACCAUUUUGCCCAAAACACCUAGCCACGCCACACCCCUAAGGGUAUUCAGCAGUGAUAAAUAUUGCCUAUAAGCGCCAGCUUGACUCAGUUAGAGUAAAUAGGGCCGGCCAAUUCGGUGCCAGCCGCCGCGGCUACCCCGCUCGGCUCAAGUUGACAUCACCGGCGUUAAGCGUGAUUAAAGUAAUAUCAAACACUAGAAUUAAACUCUGACCAAGUUGUGAAAUACUUGCUUAAAAGAAACCCUAAAACGAAAGUUAUUCUAACCUACUUGAAUACACGACAGCUGGGACACAAACUGGGAUCAGGUACCCCACUAUGCUCAGCCGUAAAAUAUAUAUUCACAUCAACUACCGCCCGGGAAUUACGAGCCCAAUCUUAAAACCCAAAGGACUUGACGGUGCCCCACCCACCUAGAGGAGCCUGUUCUAUGAUCGACACCCCCCGAUAUACCUCACCCCUUCUAGCAAACUCAGCCUGUAUACCUCCGUCGUAAGCUUACCAUGUGAACGCAGCAGUGAGCCAAAAGAUCACACAUCAACACGUCAGGUCAAGGUGCAGCUAACGAAGAGGAAAGCAAUGGGCUACAAUUUCUACUAAUAGAACACACGAAACACUGCAUGCAACACAGUCAUGAAGGCGGAUUUAGCAGUAAAAAGAAAAUAGAGAGUUCUUUUUAACCAGGCGCUGGGGCGCGUACACACCGCCCGUCACCCUCUUCAAAUACUCACACACCAGAAGAGGCAAGUCGUAACAUGGUAAGCGUACUGGAAAGUGCACUUGGAUAACAAAAUGUAGCUUAACCAAAGCAUCCCGCUUACACCAGGAUAGAUGUCCAUAAACAGACCAUUUUGAGCCUAAAUACAAGCCCCCCCCCCAUUAUAUAACCUUACCACCAUAAAACAAAACAUUUUUAUCAUAGAGUAACGGCGAUUAAAAAAUGACUAAGAGCUAUAAAAACAGUACCGCAAGGGAAACAUGAAAUAAAAAUGAAAAUCCAAAGCACAAUAAAGCAAAGUUUUAACCUUGUACCUUUUGCAUCAUGGUCUAGCUAGUUCAACCAAGCAAAACGCAUUUAAAGUUUGACACCCCGAAACUAAGCGAGCUACUUUAAAACAGCCUCCUAGAGCCAACCCAUCCCUGUAGCAAAAGGGUGGGAAGAUUUUAAAGUAGAGGUGACACACCUACCGAGCUCAGAGAUAGCUGGUUAUUCAGGAAAAGGAUUUUAGUCCCUCUUUAAGUUUUUAAUCUACACCAAAUGCCAAAUAAACUUAAAAGUCAUUCAAAUAAGGUACAGCCUAUUUGAACUAGGAAACAACCUAUGACACAGGGUAAUAAUUUAAUGAUGUGACCAAGUAGGCCUAAAAGCAGCCAACUUCUAAAUAGCGUCCAAGCUUUAUCACCAACUAUCGUCAAUCCUACUAUUUACCUAUAGCCCACAACCACUACUGAAUGACCCCAUACCUGUAUGGGGGACAUUAUGCUAGAACUAGUAACAAGAAGACAACUUCUCCAAAAUGUAAACGUAAGCCAAAAUGAACCCCUCACCGGCACUUAUCGCCACAAACCCACAGUAUCAACCCCGCAAGAAAAUCUUACUAUACUAGACGUUAACCUUACACAAGAACAUUUCUGGAAAGAUUAAAAGGGGGGGAAGGAACUCGGCAAAUAUUAGCCCCGCCUGUUUACCAAAAACAUCGCCUCUUGACAAACUAUAAGAGGUCCAGCCUGCCCAGUGACAAAAGUUAAACGGCCGCGGUACCCUAACCGUGCAAAGGUAGCACAAUCACUUGUUCUCUAAAUUAGGACUAGUAUGAAUGGCCUCACGAGAGCUAUACUGUCUCCCCCCUUCAAUCAGUGAAACUGAUCUCCUCGUGAAGAAGCGAGGAUGCCUAAAUUAGACGAGAAGACCCCAUGGAGCUUAAAACUUGUAUCACUGCCUUAACUACAUCAACUACUUAGGCAAAAUGACUACUAGUCUUUCGGCUGGGGCGACCACGGAGAAAAAUUCAACCUCCACGAUGAAAGAAACACCCUAAUUAAAGAGCUACUACUCUAAAAAUCAAUAAAUUGACAUAAAUUGACCCAAACACUUUGAUCAACGAACCAAGUUACCCUGGGGAUAACAGCGCAAUCCAUUUCAAGAGACCCCAUCGACAAAUGGGCUUACGACCUCGAUGUGGAUCAGGGUACCCAAGUGGUGCAGCCGC
rnacentral:ncRNA from 1 species